rnacentral:lncRNA from 1 species
AUGUGGUACCAGGAAAGGGGGGAUUCUCCUCCUCUACCCCUGUGCCCAGGUGAGCCCACCUGCAGAACUGCCCCAACCCUGGGGAUUCCAGCAGCACAAGGACCUGGAGCUGCUGCAGAGAGCCCAGAGGAGCCCCCAGAGCUGCUGCAGGGCUGGAGCCGGGCUGGGAGAGCUGGGGGUGCUCACCUGGAGAGGAGAAGGAUCCAGGGAGAGCUCAGAGCUCCUGGCAGGGCCUGGAGGGGAUCCAGGGAGAGCUCAGAGCCCCUGGCAGGGCCUGGAGGGGCUCCAGGAGAGCUGCAGAGGGACUGGGGACAAGGGAUGGAGGGACAGGACACAGGGAAUGGCUCCCACUGCCAGAGGGCAGGGCUGGGUGGGAGAUUGGGAAUUGGGAACUGGGAAUUGUUCCCUGGCAGGACCCAGGGAAUGGCUCCCAGUGCCCCAGGGCAGGGCAGGGUGGGAUUUUGGGAGCGAUCCUCGCCCACCGCCCCGCUCAGGUGCGCUCCCGCCCCGCGGGUCCGCAGAACCCCGCCUGAUGACGUCACCAGCCCGCUCCGCCGGCCCCGCCCUUGCGCCGGCAAAGCCCCGCCCCCUCUGCGCUCUCCGCGCUCCCAUUGGCUGCGCUCCCCUCCCAAGGGUUGGAGUGACGUCACCGCGGGCGGGGCAGGAGGCGCCCCCUGGCGGCGGCGGCGUGAGGGGGCAGAGAGCGCUGAGGGGAGAGCGGAGGGUGCGGGGGUCGUGGGGAGGUUUGGCUGGGAAAGGACAGCAAAACCCAGCUCGUUCCACCCCUGCCAUGGCCCGGACACUGUGCCAGGUGAGCCCAGCCCCAGUGUCCAGCCUGGCCUUGGGCACUGCCAGGGAUCCAGGGUGGGCACCCUGUGCCAGGGCCUGCCCACCCUGCCAGGGAACAAUUCCCAAUUCCCAAUCUCCCAUCCAGCCCUGCCCUGGGGCAGUGGGAGCCAUUCCCUGUGUCCUGCCAGGGAACAAUUCCCAGUUCCCAAUCUCCCACCCAGCCCUGCCCUGGGGCACUGGGAGCCAUUCCCUGGGUCCUGUCCCUCUGUCCCUUGUCCCCAGUCCCUCUGCAGCUCUCCUGGAGCCCCUCCAGGCCCUGCCAGGGGCUCUGAGCUCUCCCUGGAUCCCCUCCAGGCCCUGCCAGGGGCUCUGAGCUCUCCCUGGAUCCCCUCCAGGCCCUGCCAGGGGCUCUGA